UACAGAGGGGGCAAGCGUUGUUCGGAGUUACUGGGCGUAAAGGGCGCGUAGGUGGCCUUCUAAGUUGAACGUGAAAUCCCUGGGCUCAACCCAGGAACUGCGUCCAAGACUGGGAGGCUUGAAUCCGGGAGAGGGAUGCGGAAUUCCAGGUGUAGCGGUGAAAUGCGUAGAUAUCUGGAGGAAUACCGGUGGCGAAGGCGGCGACCUGGUCCUUGACUGACGCUGAGGCGCGAAAGCGUGGGGAGCAAACAGG
rnacentral:rRNA from 1 species